GCCAUCGGACCUGGCACCGCGCCCGGGCAUCCUUGCUGAGAGCCUCUGAGCAGUACCAGCAACAGGCUAACCGCCGACGCACCCCGGCACCCUCAUACUCUGUUGGAGACAAGGUAUGGCUGUCAACCAAAGACCUGCCCCUCCGCACGGACUCCAGGAAACUAUUGCAAAGGUUCAUCGGCCCCUUCCCCAUCGAAAGCAUCAUCAACCCCACGGUGGUCCGUCUCAAGCUCCCUCGGUCCCUUCGGGUACACCCAGCGUUCCAUGUGUCCUGCGUUAAACCGGUAUCGGUUUGUCACCUCCUUCCCCCCCCACCUCCUCUGCCGCCUCCCCGAAUUAUUGACGGGGCCCCAGCCUAUACAGUAAAGAGGGUUAUGGACUCCCGACGCCGAGGAAGGGGCUACCAGUUUUUGGUAGACUGGGAGGGUUAUGGGCCGGAAGAGAGGUGUUGGGUUUCCCGGCGCCUGAUCCUGGACCCCAGCAUGAUCCGGGAGUUUUAUCGGCGGAAGCCGGGGGCUCCAGGUGGACCGCCUGGUGGCGGUCGUGGGGGGAGGGGUACUGUCAGAGUCCCUCCCUCUGGACCCAGGUAAAGGCUGGUUUAGGUCUCCCUCUGGUGGAUCUGGGAGAGGUUGGCUUCGCACGCACCUGUCUCAGCUCUGCAAUCGCACACCUGCACCGGAGCCACAAUCACCAGGGGAUAAGAGGGAGAGCCUGACAACCGGCCGACGUCGGAUCGUUACUCACGUCACUUACACCUGUCUGUUCCUGCACGUGGGAGGACCACCGGGCACCGCGCACUGUCAAGGAGAUCAUCACCCGGGACCCCCUCCUUCACCUGCACCCCUCACGCCCGCUCCUGCUGCACCUCCAGUCGUGUUGAUUAAUAAAGUAUUCACUCACCUCC